UGUCAACAAUACAACGCUGUAUGGUUGCACCGCUUUACCCACCGUCUGACAGCUGUCAAAAAAGUUCUUUUCCGGUUUAAUUCACUAAGAAGAAGAAAUUAAACACAAACCAUGGGUCGUUACUCUAGGGAACCAGAGACAGCCGCCAAGGCUUGCAAAGCCCGUGGACCAAAUCUACGUGUGCAUUUCAAG
rnacentral:sRNA from 1 species